UACAGAGGUCUCAAGCGUUGUUCGGAUUCAUUGGGCGUAAAGGGUGCGUAGGCGGCGCGGUAAGUCGGGUGUGAAAGUCUACGGGGCCUUAACUCCGAAACGUGCAUUCGAUACUGCCGUGCUUGAGGACUGGAGGAGGAGACGUGGAAUUUGACGGUGUAGCGGUGAAAUGCGUAGAUAGUCGAUAAGGGAAGACCAGUGGCGAAGGCGGGUCUCUG
rnacentral:rRNA from 1 species